rnacentral:rRNA from 1 species
UACGAAGGGGGCUAGCGUUGCUCGGAAUCACUGGGCGUAAAGCGCACGUAGGCGGUUUCUUAAGUCAGGGGUGAAAUCCUGGAGCUCAACUCCAGAACUGCCUUUGAUACUGGGAGACUUGGAGUCCGGGAGAGGUGAGUGGAACUGCGAGUGUAGAGGUGAAAUUCGUAGAUAUUCGCAAGAACACCAGUGGCGAAGGCGGCUCACUGGCCCGGUACUGACGCUGAGGUGCGAAAGCGUGGGGAGCAAACGGG